rnacentral:rRNA from 1 species
UCGAGAAUCUUCCGCAAUGCGCGCAAGCGUGACGGAGCGACGCCGCGUGGGCGAUGAAGGCCUUCGGGUCGUAAAGCCCUGUUGAUCAUGAAGAAAGGCAGGCGGUGAACAGCCGUCCUGACUGACGUUAGUGGUCGAGGAAGCACCGGCUAAAUACGUGCCAGCAGCCGCGGUAAUACGUAUGGUGCGAACGUUGUUCGGAAUCACUGGGCAUAAAGAGCACGUAGGCGGUCCGGUAAGUCUGAGUGUGAAAUCCCUCGGCUCAACCGAGGAACUGCACCGGAUACUGCCGGACUCGAGUUCAGGAGGGGAGAGUGGAAUUCCUGGUGGAGCGGUGAAAUGCGUAGAUAUCAGGAGGAACGCCGGUGGCGAAAGCGACUCUCUGGCCUGCAACUGACGCUGAGGUGCGAAAGCCAGGGGAGCGAACGGGAUUAGAUACCCCUGUAGUCC